rnacentral:rRNA from 1 species
UACGUAGGGUGCAGGCGUUAAUCGGAAUUACUGGGCGUAAAGCGCGCGUAGGCGGCUUUGCAAGUCGGGUGUGAAAUCCCCAGGCUUAACCUGGGAACUGCAUUCGAGACUGCAUUGCUAGAGUAUGGGAGAGGGAAGUGGAAUUUCCGGUGUAGCGGUGAAAUGCGUAGAUAUCGGAAGGAACACCAGUGGCGAAGGCGGCUUUCUGGACAAACACUGACACUGAGGCACGAAAGCGUGGGUAGCAAACAGG